UUGGCCCUCACUUGAGCUUCCGUCUAUGAUGGCGUUAUUUUCUGUCUUGUGAUUAGCGAUUUGUAGCCAGCUGUGACGCACUUUGAAAUCAUUUGGUGCGAGUUCGGUAGAAGAUAGGGAAUGGUAAACCCAAACGAUUCGAGUUCUUUUGAAGUCACUAUCAGUGAUAAAGAGUGGUGAAUAGGUCUUUUGCAAUAGUUUGCCACGUGAUCGAUUAUCCCUUAGUGAUGCCAUAUCAGGUGGCAAGCUAUCCAGACCAUGCUUAGCAACCAACAAAGCUUGGCGGCUGGGAGAAAAACAAAAGCAAUGUAAUCCCUUUAUCAGUAUUUAUUUGUGAAUAGGUGUCAAAAGAACUAAGGCAAUAUCGCUGAAUAAUUUAUGUUAACAUCUCUUGCAAUUUUAGAAUAAAUUAAUCGUCAUGGGCAGCAUUUCGCGCUUGCGCAGUUUUAUCACGGGCUCGAUCGGAAAGCCAUCAAUGGCGGGGGUUUUAGGCAUAAAACAUCAAUGCGAUUACCUACGUUUGCCCCUCUGUUAACUGUUUUGCAAACCUUGGCGUCCUAUGAAUAGAGAUUUGAAGGAUAGCUUGUUGAAAGGCAUAGAAUCAAGUGAUAUUAGCAGAUUUCCAGAUAUCUCUUUCGCUAAAGUUCAACGUUAUGCGCCGGGCUGUGAACAUACAAGGAAAGCUUACAAGUUUUUCGCUGAGCCCGGGUACAUCCACGAUAAGAAAGGUCACUACUCUGUGGAACAAGCUUGGGUGUGAUUACCAUCAGCCAGGUUUUAUUGGUCUAAGAAGGAAAGUGAGUUUCCACAUACCUUGAGUGUUGUUGUUGGGUUAGAAGAUAAAACCGUCAGCGGAAGCUGUUCCUGUGUGGCAGGAGCAAGUGGAUUCUGCGGCUUGGUCAUAAGGCACUGCGAGACGAGCGCACAUGUGCAAGCCCUCCACAGAUGUGUAGUGUUCCUUGUUAGCCGCAAAAUUGUUAACAAGGCAAUUCAGGACAUAAUGGUAAAGAAACCACAACCGUGGGUAUAUUACGAUACGUUUGUAAAGAAUGCCUUAUACUCUCCUACAACAAUUUAUCUUCUCUUGACCACCGAAAUGGUGUCUUCUUUGCAAUCACAACCACUUUUGGCAACGACAUUGCUAGAACCAAGCAGAAUACGGUUAAUAUCUCCAGUUGCUACUUUAUUUGGCAAUGUAACGCAAGGCAGCAUCGGCAAAAACUAACAAAAGCGUACGUAAUUAGCGACUAUUUCUGCACAUUUUUCCCUGACCUCCCGCUUGAAACAGCUGGUGUAAGGUUCUCCAAUAACAUUUCAGCUUGCUAACUUGGAUUCUCUAAAGUACCCCUGAGACGAAAAUUGACCAUUUUAUUUUGGCUUAAAUUGUUUACACAAUGUUGAAUUGGGUCAAGUUAAGAC